rnacentral:lncRNA from 1 species
GGAGAAUCAAGACUGCUGGAACGAGUUCCGUGUGUCUGCUUCGUGGACGCUGAUGUUGGGGUGGAUGUCAAGUCUGGGUCAUCCUAAGAAGACCUGCUCCAGUUCUCACGAGAAGUCCAUGUGCAGGGCUUUGGGAGCUGUUCUACACCUGAGCGCUGAGAUUUUAUGAUUAACAAGUCACACCUACUUCUCCAGCCAGCUCUGCUACACCC